rnacentral:rRNA from 1 species
CCUACGGGAGGCAGCAGUGAGGAAUAUUGGUCAAUGGGCGAGAGCCUGAACCAGCCAAGUCGCGUGAGGGAGUACUGCCCUAUGGGUUGUAAACCUCUUUUGUCGGGGAGCAAAAGCCGGACGUGUCCGGCUGUGAGAGUACCCGAAGAAAAAGCAUCGGCUAACUCCGUGCCAGCAGCCGCGGUAAUACGGGGGAUGCGAGCGUUAUCCGGAUUUAUUGGGUUUAAAGGGUGCGUAGGCGGAUUUUUAAGUCAGCGGUAAAAUCGUGGGGCUCAACCCCAUCCAGCCGUUGAAACUGGGGAUCUAGAGUGUGCGAGAGGUAGGCGGAAUGUGUGGUGUAGCGGUGAAAUGCAUAGAUAUCACGCAGAACCCCGAUUGCGAAGGCAGCAUACCGGUGCACAACUGACGCUCAGGCACGAAAGCGUGGGUAUCGAACAGGAUUAGAUACCCCAGUAGUC